rnacentral:rRNA from 1 species
ACUACGGGCGGCAGCAGUGGGGAAUAUUGCGCAAUGGGCGAAAGCCUGACGCAGCGACGCCGCGUGAGGGAUGAAGGUCUUCGGAUCGUAAACCUCGGUCAGCAGGGAAGAACGGUCACUGUGCUAAUCAGCAGUGAAUUGACGGUACCUGCAAAGGAAGCACCGGCUAACUCCGUGCCAGCAGCCGCGGUAAUACGGAGGGUGCGGGCGUUACUCGGAUUUACUGGGCGUAAAGCUCUCGUAGGCGGUAUGUCAGGUCCAGGGGGAAAUCCCCGCGCUCAACGUGGGAACUGCCUGUGAAACUGGCAAACUGGAGUGUGUGAGAGGAUAGUGGAAUUCCAGGUGUAGGAGUGAAAUCCGUAGAUAUCUGGAGGAACAUCAGUGGCGAAGGCGACUAUCUGGCACAUAACUGACGCUGAGGAGCGAAAGCGUGGGUAGCAAACAGGAUUAGAUACCCCAGUAGUC